CUAAAGAUACCAAUCAAUAUUGUGUGUACUUACCAACUCAGUUUUCAAACAACCUGUCGAACUAAACCCCGAAGAGUCUCCACUUGAAACCAAUGGAUUCCAUCUGAAUCUGACAUGACUAAACCUCUCAGACAGUGUUAUGCUAAUCCUUGAAGUUCUGUCCUCGGCUUCAAUAUAUAUAGCAACCUCUUUGCUAAAGAUACCAAUCAAUAUUGUGUGUACUGACCAACUCAGUUUUCAAACAACCUGUCGAACUGAACCCCGAAGAGUCUCCACUUGAAACCAAUGGAUUCCAUCUGAAUCUGACAUGACUAAACCUCUCAGACAGUGUUAUACUAAUCCUUGAAGUUCUGUCCUCACAUUCUUCAAAAGUGUUAACUUUCGUCGACUUGAGCUUCGUCAAAUUCAGCAGUUACAAACUCUUCUGUUCAAUCCUAAGGUUCUGACAUAAAUGCACGAAACUGAUUUGGUGCGGUAGUAACUCGAUAAUUAUAUCCUUAAACCUCCACAGUUCUCUGUCUUUGGUUCAGUUGAUUCUGGAUGGAUUUAGCAUUGAUACAAUUCAUUGUGUAAUU
rnacentral:lncRNA from 1 species